GUGCUCACCUUGGCAGCACAUAUCCUUAAAAUUGGAAUGAUUUAGAGAGGAUUAGCAUGACCCCCGUGCAAGGACGACAUGCAAAUUCAUGAAAACUAGGAAAUUGCU